UACGGGGGGGGCGAGCGUUGUCCGGAAUCAUUGGGCGUAAAGAGCGCGUAGGCGGUCCGGUAAGUCCGCUGUGAAAGUCAAGGGCUCAACCCUUGAAUGCCGGUGGAUACUGUCGGGCUAGAGUCCGGAAGAGGCGAGUGGAAUUCCUGGUGUAGCGGUGAAAUGCGCAGAUAUCAGGAGGAACACCAAUGGCGAAGGCAGCUCGCUGGGACGGUACUGACGCUGAGGCACGAAAGCGUGGGGAGCAAACAGG
rnacentral:rRNA from 1 species